rnacentral:lncRNA from 1 species
GUAGAUAUUUUUUGAGGAUAAAAGAAAAUUUACAAACUCUCAUAAUUUUGUUCAGUUCUUGCAGGCACCCUUGGAAGCUAACGAGCGCUUCUUUUGGAGUUCUUUCUGGUCACAGGAGCUGAUUUCAGAAUAUUAAAAGCCUAAACAUCAUAGAGGUCAUGGUGGAAGUCAGUGGACACAGUUCACACCAAACAUCUGCUGUGGAUUUCAAAUAGAGGAAUGGCUUGCAGAUGGAGGCACCCUGUCAUGCCAGUCCACUAAUUUAAUCGUGGAUGCUGAAAAUGCUGUCUGGAAGCUUCCAAGGAUGCACCAUACAACAUUUAAGUUGUGGUGUAAUGAUCAUUGAUAUGUUCGUUGUGUUCAGGAGUAAAUAAGAGCACAGAAAAGAGUGACAGGGACUGAGAGCAUGGAAAGGAAAUUGGAAAGUGAUGCCAAAAAGCAGAUGAGUGUAGGGGAACAAUAGAUGUGUGAAACCCUUCAUGUCACCACCAAAGAGGUAAGUCUGAAGAAAUCCUCUCUUUUUUUGCCUUGUGUUAUGUAAUAGGCACCUCUUGUAAAAGUUAAGAAAUAUAAUUCUAAAUUCAUUCUGCAAGUUCUAGGAUGAGGUAGUAAAAUCCUAAGGGAAUAGAAUCCUAAGUGGGGUACAGAGACAAAUAGAGAAUUCUCAACAGAGGAAUCUAAAAUGGCUGAAAGACACAUAAGAAAGUGUUCAACAUCCUUAGCCAUCAGGGAAAUGCAAAUCAAAACAACUCUAAGAUACCAUCUUACACCUGUCAGAAU